GGCCUUAAUUAUCUUCAUGAAGAGUGCAGACAGAAGAAGCAGGCUAUUAAGUAACCUGGUAAUGGAAUUGACAAACUUACAUAGAGAAUAACGAAAUUUCCAAAUACCGCACACAUUUUCAUUCCCUGUAAGAUUGGUACAUCUAUUCUCCGUGAGAAGCACAUAGUAUUAACUACGUGUCUCUCCAAUAUUGACAAAACAACCAUCAAAAAGCCCACCAGCAGAGUCAGGGUGGUCACUAUCUUUUCUGCAAGCGUGUGUUCACUAAUACAAAGAGACAGAGAAACUCCUAGAAAGGGGGAGCCUUGUGAACAUGGUCAACUGGACUUCCUUUAUACAACCAUCGUCAAGCUAAUAGAAAACGCCCCUGCAAGAUUAGUUUAAGUCAAAAUCUGAUGAACCGUUAGACCCAAUGUUCUGAGAAGUCCUAGCUAAACAAUAGGAUAUAUCCUACAAUCAAGACCAUAUGCAUCUCCUUAGAGGGCGAUAAGUAUCUCAUCUCACAACGUCAGGCCCCUUGAUUUUGAAUUAAUGAUCAAACUGAUGCAAAAGCCAAUUGCUCAUUGGAAACUCAAUUGGAUCUCACGAGGCCCUCUAACAGGGAGCAUGCCGGGAAAGCAUUAUUCCACUUCUUGUUAAAGGAUUACUAACUCCCAGUCCUCAACACUACAGGAGAGUGUCGCCACAAUAAGUGGAACUUCCAUAGGAGUGCACACAGAUCUGAAGGACCAGGGCUAGUCAGCAAAAUCCUCAUUGUCAUUGUCAUAGGCUUUCCUUUGAAUAGCAGACAGUAGUAAUGUACAACUAGAACCCUGUGGAGAAGUUAAGUGGAGUUGUGGAGAUCUAUAUUGAUCAAAGGAAAUCGGAAAGUCCUACUACAAUAAAGAUCAAUUGAUAUCCCAAGAACCAGACCAGUGAAAAACACUCCAAGGAAGCAGGGCACCAUAAAGUCCAGAAGAUGGGAUCACACAAUCAAAUUAGGUAGCUUCUCCAAUCACCUGAUAAAUCAAAAAAGGGCCUGCAUCGCCAUUGGCAGUUCAGAAUGUAUAUAGCAAAGGCCAUGACUAAGCUAAAACUAGUCAUCAACAUCUAACUAAACAAAGCGCCUCUAAAAUAAUUACCAAGAAAGCUACAUAACCUGUUUUAUUCUGAAAAAUGAAGAGAAGGCUACGUAACCUCUUGAGCACCUGUAUUUAUCAACUCAAACAUGACUGAAAAG
rnacentral:lncRNA from 1 species